GGUUAUUUAGUUUAAAAAAAACAAAUGUUUUGAAAACAUUAGAUAAAUAUAUAAAUUUUAAUAACUA
rnacentral:tRNA from 1 species